rnacentral:rRNA from 1 species
AUUGAACGCUGGCGGCAUGCCUUACACAUGCAAGUCGAACGGCAGCACGGGAGCAAUCCUGGUGGCGAGUGGCGAACGGGUGAGUAAUAUAUCGGAACGUGCCCAGUCGUGGGGAUAACGUAGCGAAAGCUACGCUAAUACCGCAUACGAUCUACGGAUGAAAGCGGGGGAUCGCAAGACCUCGCGCGAUUGGAGCGGCCGAUAUCAGAUUAGGUAGUUGGUGAGGUAAAGGCUCACCAAGCCGACGAUCUGUAGCUGGUCUGAGAGGACGUCCAGCCACACUGGGACUGAGACACGGCCCAGACUCCUACGGGAGGCAGCAGUGGGGAAUUUUGGACAAUGGGCGCAAGCCUGAUCCAGCAAUGCCGCGUGCAGGAUGAAGGCCUUCGG